AGUGAACGCUGGCGGUAGGCCUAACACAUGCAAGUCGAACGGCAGCACAGUAAGAGCUUGCUCUUACGGGUGGCGAGUGGCGGACGGGUGAGGAAUACAUCGGAAUCUACUUUUUCGUGGGGGAUAACGUAGGGAAACUUACGCUAAUACCGCAUACGACCUACGGGUGAAAGCAGGGGAUCUUCGGACCUUGCGCGAUUGAAUGAGCCGAUGUCGGAUUAGCUAGUUGGCGGGGUAAAGGCCCACCAAGGCGACGAUCUGUAGCUGGUCUGAGAGGAUGAUCAGCCACACUGGAACUGAGACACGGUCCAGACUCCUACGGGAGGCAGCAGUGGGGAAUAUUGGACAGUGGGCGCAAGCCUGAUCCAGCCAUACCGCGUGGGUGAAGAAGGCCUUCGGGUUGUAAAACCCUUUUGUUGGGAAAGAAAAGCAGCAGGUUAAUACCCCGCUGUUCUGACGGUACCCAAAGAAUAAGCACCGGCUAACUUCGUG
rnacentral:rRNA from 1 species